CUCUCUCUCUCUCUCUCUCUCUCUCUCUCUAUAUAUAUAUAUAUAUUAGUGAAGAGUCCCGCGCUUUGCAGCGGGUAGAAACUAUAGUAGUAAUUAAUAAUAAUAAAAUAUUAAAUAUUUUUUUGUGUAUCACACUUGGUACAUCUACCAACGAUGGAGAGAGAGAGAGAGUAAAAUAGCUCAUUCUAAAUAAAAAUUAAAUGGGAGAGAUGAAGAGACGUAUGUUGAGAAAGAGAGAAUAAAAUAGGGGAGAUGAGGAGACGAAUGUUGAGAGAGAGAGAGUAAAAUGGCUCAUUCUAAAUAAAAAUUGAAUGGGGGAGAUGAAAAGACGUAUAUUGAGAGAGAGUAAAAUGGCUCAUUCUAAAUAAAAAGUAAAUGAGGAGAUGAAGAGACGUAUGUUGAGAGAGAGAAUAAAAUGAAUCAUUCUAAAUUAAAAAAAUUUCAAAAUUAGGAGAUUAUGAUACAUCAGCUUAAAACAUUGGGGAUUCAUAAAGAGUAAUAGAUAUAUAUAUAAUCCUAGGAAUGGCCAAUAAU
rnacentral:lncRNA from 1 species